UGAAAACUAAAAAUUUGUUCACUUUUUAUGUUUCGCUUUUUACAAUUUUUAUUUUUAUUUUUUUAAAUAAUUGCCCUUUUAUACUUCCAUAUAACAACAAAAACGAAGGCGGAGAUUCCGAAAAUGAAAUUUAUAGAAGUAAUAGAUGUUUGUGUCCUGGUGAUAUUUUUUCUAGUAAAGAAAAGUUGGGAAUGAUUUACAAAAUAGAAAAGGAGUUAUCAUUGCAGCUUAUACAUAAUGUUAGUUCUCGUGAUUCAUUUGAUAUAGAGUUAGAUAAAAUAAAAAAUGAUAUUAAAAAAGAGCUUCAAGAAAACAAAAAAAUUGAUGUGGAAGAUAAAAUUGAUUUAAUAGCAAGCAGAAUACAUGAACGCAUAAGAGAUUUUUAUGAAGCGAAGCUAAAAAAGAAAGAUAUGUGUAUAAUUUUUAAUCAUGAAUGUCAUUUAGUAAAAAAAAUAUUACAAUACUUGAAACAUACUGAGACAUUUAAGAGCACACUACAAACAUUUUAUUAUCAUACGGCAAAAAAAAGCAUUUGUUCUGAACCUAAUUUUAAUAAACUAUUAAGUGAGGAAGCUAUUGAAAACAUGGCAAAAAGAAUCAUUGGAUUAUUAAUUGAUAUAAAAUUUGAGAAUUUGAUUGUUCAUCAGGAUUUUGUGAAUGGUGACAACAAAAUGAAAAAUAAUUUAACAAAUGAAGAGAAAAUCAAAGCAAAACCACAAUCAAAGGAACAAGAAAAACAUGCAACAGAAGAUGAAAGAGAAACAAAGGCAGAACCAAAACCAAUAACAACAGUAAAAGUAGCAGGAACACCAAAGGCAACAGUAAAAGUAGAAGCAAAACCACAAGAAAAAUAUGAAAGAAAAGAUGAAGCAGAAGAUGAAGGAGAAACAAAAGCAGAAACAACAGUAACAGUAGAAAAAAAACCUAAAGAAAGAGUAAAAGUUGAGAACAAACCAAAAGUAAGCGUAAAAGUAGAGGCAAAGCCAAAAGCAGGAGUAAAAGCAACGCCAGAAGCAACACCAAAAGUAACACCAAGAGCAACACCAAAAGCAACACCAAAAGCAACACCAAAAGCAACACCAAAAGCAACACCAAAGGUAACACCAAAGGUAACACCAAAAGCAACACGAAAAGCAACACGAAAAGCAAACGUAGAAACAAAACCAAAAGCAAGAGCAAACGUACAAGCAAAACCGAAAGCAGAACAAGAAAAUGUGAUGGUAAGGUAAAAAUAGAAUAUGAUUAUCAAUUAACCGAUAAACAGAGCAUAAUAUAAAAUAAUUGAGAUGCGAAAAAAAAAAAGAAAAAGAAAAGAAAACAAUAAUUCUAAAUAAAUUUUGACUAUUUAAUAUAUAUAUAAAUAGC
rnacentral:lncRNA from 1 species